rnacentral:rRNA from 1 species
UAGGGAAUCUUCCACAAUGGACGCAAGUCUGAUGGAGCAACGCCGCGUGAGUGAAGAAGGUUUUCGGAUCGUAAAGCUCUGUUGUUGGUGAAGAAGGAUAGAGGUAGUAACUGGCCUUUAUUUGACGGUAAUCAACCAGAAAGUCACGGCUAACUACGUGCCAGCAGCCGCAGUAAUACGUAGGUGGCAAGCGUUGUCCGGAUUUAUUGGGCGUAAAGAGAGCGCAGGCGGAAGAAUAAGUCUGAUGUGAAAGCCCUCGGCUUAACCGAGGAACUGCAUCGGAAACUGUUUUUCUUGAGUGCAGAAUAGGAGAGUGGAAUUCCAUGUGUAGCGGUGGAAUGCGUAGAUAUAUGGAAGAGCACCAGUGGCGAAGGCGACUCUCUGGUCUGCAACUGACGCUGAGGCUCGAAAGCAUGGGUAGCGAACAGG